rnacentral:pre_miRNA from 1 species
AAUAUACUCCCUCCGUCCGAAAAUACAUGUCGAAGAAAUGGAUAAAAAUGGAUGUAUCUAGAACUAAAAUGCGUCUAGAUACAUCCAUUUCUUCGACAAGUAUUUCCGGACGGAGGGAGUAUGUA